CCAUUCCCCUGAGAUUAACCAAGAGGAGAGGAGACGGCCGUCCUCGUCUGGCUGCCUUGGGCUCCACGACGCGCCUCUAGUGCUGCUUGCGGGUUCCCCUGCGCCCCGUCUCUCCCACCUUCCUCUCCUGGCUGCCCGCUGGCCUGGACGGGCAUGUCUCCUUGGCCAGGCUGAACGAGGACUGGAAUGACAUUGACCCGAUUAAGAAGAAAGACCUGCACCACAGCAACAUGGAAGAGAGAGGACAGAGCGUGGAGACCCUCCCUCCAGGCAAAGUGCGGUGGCGAGACUUCAACCAGGAAGCGUACGUCGGGGGGACCAUGGUCCGCUCCGGGCAGGACCCCUACGCCCGCAACAAGUUCAACCAAGUGGAGAGCGACAAACUGCGGAUGGACAGGGCCAUCCCCGACACCAGGCACGACCAGUGAGUACCGAGUGGGUGUGACCUGGGCCGCCUGCUUCCCACGGCCCCACCCGGGCAGUGGCUGUCCCUGCGGCGACGCUCACCGUGGCGGCCGCCCUGGGAAACGGAACACUGUGGUGUCUUCGCUGGGCAGUCAGCGUGGACCGACUCGGAGGCGCGUGGCAGUGGACCUGCCCCCGCAGGAGCGAGGACCCGGGCGGGGCCGGAUUCUAGUCCAGGUGCCCGUGGCCGGACCUGGAGGCUGGGUUGCUGGCCGGCACGUGGGAACCGGCAGGAGAAAGUUGUGUUAAAAUAUACUCACAAAACAAG